AGAGUUUGAUCCUGGCUCAGGAUGAACGCUGGCGGCGUGCCUAACACAUGCAAGUCGAACGAGGUAAAUGAGUUGAAGUUUUCGGAUGGAUUCUUAUUUACCGAGUGGCGGACGGGUGAGUAACGCGUGGGUAACCUGCCUCAUACAGGGGGAUAACGAUUGGAAACAAUUGCUAAUACCGCAUAAGCGCACAGUACCACAUGGUGCAGUGUGAAAAACUCCGGUGGUAUGAGAUGGACCCGCGUCUGAUUAGCUAGUUGGUGAGGUAACGGCCCACCAAGGCAACGAUCAGUAGCCGACCUGAGAGGGUGACCGGCCACAUUGGGACUGAGACACGGCCCAGACUCCUACGGGAGGCAGCAGUGGGGGAUAUUGCACAAUGGAGGAAACUCUGAUGCAGCGACGCCGCGUGAGUGAAGAAGUAUUUCGGUAUGUAAAGCUCUAUCAGCAGGGAAGAAAAUGACGGUACCUGACUAAGAAGCCCCGGCUAACUACGUGCCAGCAGCCGCGGUAAUACGUAGGGGGCAAGCGUUAUCCGGAUUUACUGGGUGUAAAGGGAGCGUAGACGGCGAUGCAAGUCUGAAGUGAAAUACCCGGGCUCAACCUGGGAACUGCUUUGGAAACUGUAUGGCUAGAGUGCUGGAGAGGUAAGCGGAAUUCCUAGUGUAGCGGUGAAAUGCGUAGAUAUUAGGAAGAACACCAGUGGCGAAGGCGGCUUACUGGACAGUAACUGACGUUCAGGCUCGAAAGCGUGGGGAGCAAACAGAAUUAGAUACCCUGGUAGUCCACGCCGUAAACG
rnacentral:rRNA from 1 species